rnacentral:rRNA from 1 species
AGAGUUUGAUCAUGGCUCAGAUUGAACGCUGGCGGCAUGCCUUACACAUGCAAGUCGAACGGCAGCACGGGAGCAAUCCUGGUGGCGAGUGGCGAACGGGUGAGUAAAGUAUCGGAACGUGCCCAGUCGUGGGGGAUAACGUAGCGAAAGCUACGCUAAUACCGCAUACGAUCUAUGGAUGAAAGCGGGGGAUCGCAAGACCUCGCGCGAUUGGAGCGGCCGAUAUCAGAUUAGGUAGUUGGUGGGGUAAAGGCCUACCAAGCCGACGAUCUGUAGCUGGUCUGAGAGGACGACCAGCCACACUGGGACUGAGACACGGCCCAGACUCCUACGGGAGGCAGCAGUGGGGAAUUUUGGACAAUGGGCGCAAGCCUGAUCCAGCAAUGCCGCGUGCAGGAUGAAGGCCUUCGGGUUGUAAACUGCUUUUGUACGGAGCGAAAAGGCUUCCACUAAUACUGGAGGCUCAUGACGGUACCGUAAGAAUAGGCACCGGCUAACUACGUGCCAGCAGCCGCGGUAA